AUGGCAUGAUGUGGGCAUUGUCUCUCUAACUCCUUCCAUCUCAUCCAUGAUUCAUAGAGAGUUUCAUCUUCUUUGGUCCAAAGUCAGCCAUUUGAUUCUCAACUCU